CUAUGUAGGCAAAAUUUAGGCUAUUUUAAAUUGUUAAAAGUGAGUCUUUCACUGAUUGGACAUCUUUUGAUGACGACACACAAUAAGUUAACGUGGUCCAUACACAUUUUGCAGCUCUUUUUAAGCUUUCUCUUGCGAGGAGGUCUUACUUACGAGUGUUAAUCUGUCUCGGUACGUGGACACUUGGGAAAAGGACCACCUCAGCUACUAAGUAUAGGAGGAUUGCAGGACUAGUACCACACUGUUAUGAUAUUGUCUGUCACCAGAGGGGUAUUUCACAAAGGCAGAAUUAAGCUCCAAGAUAAGUGAUUUAUGUUGCAUUCAGGGCACUUCGGAAUGACAAGGACCGCCCCCAUGGCUACUUUGUUUUUCUGACAGCAAGUG